UCAGGCUUGGGAUUUUCAAGGGGGGAAGAAUACCUGAAGUAUCUCAUCUGGCUCCCAUGAAGUUUCUGCCACUGGGCUGAGCAAAGGGGAAGGAGCUCAGCAAUGGGAUGCCCAUUUGCAGGUCAGAGACAGGCCCCUCCCUGUGACAUUGGUGUUCAACACCCACUAAAACUCCAACCUCAGCACUGGUCACCAUCGGCAGUAUUUGUCACAGCUCAUUACCCAGCAGGAAUGUGGAAGCCUGGUGACCUUUCCCAGGGGGACAGGCAGAAAAGCAGCUACACAAAAGAGGGAAGAAAAUGUUGUACACUUUAGAAGAGAAAUAAUUGAAUGUUAUUGUGAUGGAAAACACCGAGCUGACAACAGGCACGGACAAAGAUUUUCUUUUAGAGCAUUGGUUGUGGGACAUGUGGGGUUUGGACAUCUGCCGGGGUUCAGCUCCCCUUCCUGCCUUCUCCCCUCAACCCCACUUCUAGGGAAUUUCAGGUAGGUUUGGGAAUGGCCCUCAGGUCCUAGUGGCAUUAGGGUGUGCGGGAGCCAGGCACCUUACUGAUGCACUGGAGCAAGGAUCAGAGAUAGGAGAGCUGGAGCUGCCUUGUGUGGUCUCCUGACAAGCAAAAGAUGCAAGAGCCCUAAAUAUGUGAUUUCUUUGCCUUGAAUCCUUGAAUAGGUAUAUUUUUAGCCUUUCUCCCCAAAGCUUCCCAGCUUCCAUAGUGAAGGAACAGAGCCCCUAGGACUCCUCCCAGACUGCCUCCAGAGCUUCUUCAAAUAGGUCCAGGUUUCCAACUACCUUUUCCCCCCUUCAUUUCACUCUAGUUUUUAUUUAAUCUGACUUCUCCAGUCUCCUGAGACAAACUGAUUAAUUCUUUUCCCCUUCAUAGUCCCCUGAGUCCCUUGUUCAAUCUUUCCUGCCUCAGUGAGAUCUUAAUAAAUGCUGUCUGUGGCUGGAAGUGGGAUUGGGUCUCAGAACUGUAAUUAAUUUUUUACUUCCUCCAUUGCUUCAGUAUGCUAUUUACAGCUGUCAGCCCAUGCAGAAGUGGAGGUGAGCAGACUCCCUCCAACUUUUGCUGCUGAUUAAUGUGUUGUAUCUACCUUCUUUCUCCUUCCUCUCUUACAUUUCUUGGUUUGCUUUGUAGCCAGUUUACUCUUGAUAUGUGAAAACACUGAUGGACUUCCAGUGAAAACAUACUCCCAGCAACAAUAAUUGCCACUGUUCCCUCUUUGCUCAUGUUCUGUUAUUUGAAAGCCUCUUGGUCCAGACAGGUUGCUCAUGACAGGACAUCCAGACCCACUGCAGCAGCAUGACCGUGGUCUGGCUAUAAUCUCCCCAAUUAUUUCCUGUAGUCUGCUCACCAAUGCACUGACUGUCAGUCCAGGGAGUGCUUUGGAGGCAUUGCACAAAGGGAGAAGGAACUGGGAGAGUGAUGGGAGAGAGACAGUGGAAGUGACUAGGAGGAUGGGCAGCCACGAGUCAGGAAAGAUCUAUUAAAAGGGCUUGCAGUGGUUGGUAGAGGGGAGCGCAGCAAAUGCUCAACGCCUGCAAACAUCACCAAAUUAGGUAGGGUGAUGCUGUGGAAUAUAAAUAUGAGCAGAUUGAAAUUAAUGUAGGUAUAAUUGGGCUGAGUGGGGGUAGUUGCUCCUUGCUGGCUGUGGGAACCUUCCCUGGUGGGGCAGGGAGCCCCGGCACUGACUGUGUUUAAUCCUGAGGGGAGUGCCUGGGCCUCCUGCCCAGGACCCGCUCAGGGGUUCAGCAGUGAACUGGAAAGCUGCAUUCAAUAUGCCAGCAAGGGAGUGAAUGCAAAUUUCCUCCUUCUCUCUCUCUCUUUUAGGUGAGAUUUAUGCCACCUCCACAUGCACAGCCUCCUGGCAGCAAUAAAUCACAGAGGGGGAGGGAAUGCAGCGAGGAAAUGGUUACCCUGCAGUUUCUGUGCGAGGGGUAGGGAGAUGGGAUGUGUGGGAUCAGCCAGCAGCUCCCAGGCACGUAUCCCUCACAUCACAAACCCGGUCCAACACACACUCCUGCUCCUUCCAACAGCCACACCAGAGACCACCUCCCUGAGCCAGGGAAACAGAGAAGGGAUUUGCUGCUUCAGUCACCCCCCUCCCCUUCACUCUGUGUGAGUGUUGCACGUGUGCCCAGACACCGCAGGCUGGGACAGAGCUGGCAGCCUCAUCUCGGCAGAUGGGUUUAUUAGAGAUGAGCGCUUUGCCUGCUCUGUGCCAAAGUCCUCCCCAGCGUGUGAUGAGCUGGGCAUCCCCCAGGCACGGGCUGCAUCGCAGACCUACAGCUCCUGCAUCAGCAGGCACCUCACCUGCUGGCUGGGAUGGGUUGGGGGUCCUGGUUCAGCCCAAGCUGUGGCAGAGCACGGCCCUGCCAGCAGCUGGUGCAGGUGGAAAGACGUGAACUCUGUUUUGCCCCUAGCAAUGAGCAUUAAUUCUGCUCAUCCUACAAAUCUGGUGCAACCUCCUUGACCUCUCUGUUUCCUGACAAACGUGUCUGGCUUCAGACUGGGGAAAGCAGAAUAGCCACAAAGAGCAGCAGGGGCAUGAAGCAAAAUAAGCAGAUGUGCCUAAAGAGUAUCUCUCGCUUGGGGACUGGAAAAACUCCAGAGAUGCCUCCCAGGCACUAUUAGUAUUGCCAUUGGGUGUCUUAACCUCUGCUCUGCAAAGUGGAAUUGGUGGUGAGCAAGGCCAUGGACAUAUGCAAAGCAAGGACAGGUGCUGCAGGAGAGCUCUCAGUAGCCACACACACCCUGCAGGGCACCAGCUCAGUGCUCUGCUACAUUUUGCAACUUCCUUGGCAAAAGCACACAGUUGAUCUCUGAUAAAACCUUUCUGUCUUUUCCCCAAUAGCCUCAGCCAUCUCUCAGCCUUACCUUGCAGUACCCCUGCUCCUGGGACUGACGGGGCAGCUGUCAGGACUGGAGACACAGGAGAUGCAAAGUCCCUUUCACACUGGCCACAAGCAGCAAGCACAAGAAGGCACAAAGGGAAAAAGUUCCCUCCAGUGCGUCGUGCUGAGCCCGGCACGCUCUGCUGCCCACCACAGCCGCUGCCUGGGCCAGGGAAAUAAGCCCUGCUCCCGAGGUUCUGGGUUCAACCUCCAGGAAAAGCAUUUGGCUGCUGCCUGUAAGCACGUGACUACAGUUUAAUCCACUUUCAGAGCAGAGCUCUGACAGGCCCCCAGCAGAACUAGGACAGCUAAAAAUACUCAGUGCAUGGAGAAAAUAAUAAUUUGGGUAGGACUGAACCCAAGUGAUUUAUCUCAGAUCAAAAGGUGUAAAAUGUGGUCGUAUCGGGUCAAGCAUCAGAAAAGGAACAAAGGCAUGAGCUGGUCACAGGUUUUAAGAAAAGCAGAAAGAUCUAAAAAUAAAAAAAUAAAAAUUUCAUAUUAAGAGCAGCAGAGCCUGCACUAGCAACGCAGGGAUGUGUGUGCCGAUUUCCCCACCAUACGCUGACUUUACCUUUACUGUCAGUCUAAAUUCUGCCAAUUAUUAAAUUAUCCAACUUGCAGCAGGAACACAGUUAGAUGUGAUCCAAAUGGUGUCACUACAAUUAUGGUAAUUAUCUGAAAACAAGCCAAUUACUUCCCUCCUUCAUGCCAGUUGGUACCAAGAUAGCAGCUGUUCGAGGCAAAUUUGUUAUCACAUUACAGUACAUUUGUUAAAGGUUGAGGUUAUAGAUUCUAGCCUUCUUUUAAAUAUUAAAAAUGCAAUAAAGUCAUGGAGUGUAUAACUUAUUAGGAUUUUUUUUAAAUGUCAGGGAGAGAGAAAUUUCUUUUACAUGCCAAGAGAAGUGGUGGGAAAGUGAUUUACUAAUGACUUGUGGAUGGAAAUGUGUGCUUUGCAAUCAGCAUACAACUGAGCUAUACAUUAACCUGUGUCAUCUCGUUACCUCUGCUUGUGUAAAAUGAAACAAAACCAGAAGUUUUCUAGGUUUCUUUUACACUCUUCCUUCAGUUUUAGCAUUCAGGACCGUUCAAUACAUUGGGAGGUGUCCUGCAGGGUCAGCCCCACCACUGGGUUUGUUUUCAGCAGCUUGUUCAGCUUGUCAAGUGCUUUGGCUCAUUUAAUCUUGUGACACUCGCUUAUGGAGAGUGCAUGCAAUGGAUGGCUCAGCUUCACCUGCCGGGGCCAGCAGCUUUGCCUCUGGGCAAAGCAAGCUGGGACAAUGCCGGGCAGAGCCACGGUAAACUCUGCCCGUGUGAAGAGGCUACCGAAGGGUGAAGUUAUCAGGGCAUCCUUUACUUUUAAAUCUGUUCCUAGUAAGGAUGGCCUUGCUUAUGUUACUCUGCGUCACAACACACAAAACCCUGCACUUGCAGCUAGUGUCAGAGGUUGCCAGCAAAGCACCUUCAGACCACGGAUCAGCAUGACCUCUUGUUUUGCACAGACCCUCCUUGUAGAAAACCAGAGCCUUUCAUCUCAUGUUUGCUAGCGUAUCCUCCCUUGAGCUGACCUUAUUUUUUUUUUCUUGUGGUGUUUUGAAAUCUUUGGCUUUGAUGUGCGCAAAACACUCCUUUCAAUAAAUGUCAAGAGCAGAUUAAAGAAAAUUAAACAGCAGAAAUAAAAGAUACUACUACUUUUCAGUUGGAAACAGCAUUUUCAUGACAACUGAAUGAAUCAGCUAUGAAAAAUGUGUUUCCCUCUGUGCUUAAGGUACAUACCAGUAGGAUCUGUUUAGAUCUGUGGGCUUAUGUACACCUUCAUGCAUCUGUAAUUCCCUGUAGCUUGUGUGCAGCUACACAGCCAAGGCACAGGGCAGAGCUUGGUUCCUGGGAGCAGGUUAGUAGCAUUAACCUGCUGCUUUGCUUGAAAUAAUUAGUCUUGCUCGCAGAUGACCUUCACAGCAAGCGCUAAAGGCUGACAGAUUUGGGUUACACUGGAGCAACAGAGAAGCAUGUGUCAGAGUGCUCCUCCUGGAGAAAACCCUGCUGCUCACUCCACUGCCAGCCCCCAGGAGCUGUGGCUGGGCAUUGUGGCACCUGCCUGUCUGCAGCAAGGGGGUUCCUCACCUCCCAUGGGACACGGGAGCCAGAUACAACCACUGGGCUCCACUGUGCCCUUGGACAUCCCUGGGAUCUUCAUGCUGUUCUUAACUGAUGCCAUCAGCUUUCCAGUUUUCCUGUCCCAGAAUGUCCCCUCUGCUGUGAGAGUGAUGUGUCUGGACUCUCUUGUUUCUGCAUUUUGGGUCAUUCCUGCUAACUUGGCAAUAUGUGAAAUACGGCCCCGCAUGGGAGAACAUAGAUAAGCUAUUCCUUACCAAUCACCACUUGAUUCUCCCUUAUUAUCAUUUAACUUUUAGUUACUGCCAUUGUCCUUUUGCUUCAUGUGAAGCCAAUUCCAUAUUUGUUAUCCAUUAAAACUGCCCUGUUCAUAUUUCUCUCCGUUAAGCAGCGAUGAGAUGUUCAGCCACAAGGAUUAUAUUUGAUUGAGUAUAAAAAAAAAAGAAAUCCAGGCAGUUCCCUGCCCAAUUGCAGCAUUAGCUAUGAGUGUGUAAACAGGUUUCUGCUUAUCAGUCCCACUGCUAUCUUCUGCACACAAACUGCUCAGCCCCACAAAAUCCAAUUUCCGAGAGGUUAGAGGAGGAAACUGUUUGCAGAAACACAGCAAUACAAAUCUCUAAAGCCACAGCCCUCAUUAUGCUGACGUCAAAGGGAGAAAUGCUGCUUGACUCCUUCUGGCACCCAAAGGUGACAUUUACUUUUGUGACUUUGAUUGGAAUCAGCCCAGCUUUGUCAUGGGAUCAUUUCCUCAUAAUUUUCCUCACAGUCAUCACCUUCUGUAUCCCCCCAAAAAGCCUGGAAACUCGCCUUGGACAUGCCAGUCACACGUCGGCAGGAGACACGGGAACACCGGCUGCUACCUCCUAUGGGGUACUCGGCGCUGGGCACGGAACGAGAGGACAAGCUCCUACAUUCAAGGCAUGUUUUGAGCAUUUACACAGGACCUGUUGGUGGACAGAUGCUGCAGCUCUGUCCUGAAGGAGCUGAGCCCUCUGGCAUUUGGGAGGAAGGAACGCAGCACCAGGGAUGCUCUGGCUGGACCCUCUGACCUGGCUGCCACAGGCGACAGUGGGAGGGAUUCAGGCCACUGCCAAUUGGCAGCAUCCAGCAGCAGCAGCGCUGCGAGUUGCAAAAGGCAAACAUGCCUCAGCCCCAACACAGGCACGAGCUCUUUGUUUAUUUCCAAAUUGAGCGAUCAGGCAGCAGGCAGCCCGCCUCCGCACUGACUCUCCUGCAAAGGGCUGUUGCCCAGAAGUUCACCGCAUCACUAAAAAUGCAAACUGUAAGCUGAUUAGCUAUUCAUAGAUACUCUUUCUUGAUUAGCUCACCAUUAAUAUUUCAAUGUCAGAACUGGAUGCACAGUGCCUCACAGCUCUCUUCCUUCCUGCUUAAUUAAUUUUGACCAUCACCAACAACGGUUUCCGACAGAUAGCAGAAAUUAAAGUGGGCUGUUCCGUGACUUUGCUUGCUGUAAACAGCUAUUUGCAAUUCCUUUUCAUACAUCACCCACCUGCAACAAAGAGAUCACAGCAGCAGAAAAUGAGUCUCCCUCGUAAGGGCUUCAGAGCUCCAAAAGAACAUUUGCUUCUUCAAUAAAAAUAAUCAAAAAGACAAUGUGGUAGGCGCAACUCAACAACAAGAUUUGCAUCUCACCUAGUAGUCUGCUGGCUGUUAAGCCUUAAAAAAAAAGAAUUGUUAAUUUGUCUGUAAAAAGACAGGGCCUUUGAUUUAGGGGAGCUCAUAAAAGCUGUAGUAUGCCCCAGCUGUGAGAGGAUGUGAUAAUCGCUGCAACCCCAGCAGUGGUAUGAGCAGGUCGCCUCGUAAAAUGCAGGCUGCACAGCUGCCUAACACACACCAGACUCGUCCACAGCUGAUAACACAACAAGCUGCUAAUAGCUGGAUUGAUUUUAUUGACACAUUCAAGAUAUGCCUACCUGGAACCACAGCAGCACUCAGCUUGGGUUUACAGAAAGAUAAAUUUUGCCUCUCUUUGUUGCUACUUGAGCUGUAUGUCACUGCUGCAAAACAAGUAUUUUGCUACUGGACACACUGCACAUCUCCAUCUACUGCUGUAAACAUGUCCCGACCCAUCCUCCAGCCUCUCAGAAGGAUUCCCUCUAGGGAAUGCACCAUGAUGGUGGCCCAAAGAAAGUGGUAAUGUAGGAGCAGCACAUUGCAGCCAUGCUCGGCUCCAUCCCCUCUACACAGCAGUAACUCAGGCUGUUAAAUGCCUGGCCAGUGCUUGCCAUCUGCUUCCAGUCUUCUAGGAAUACCGCUGCGUAAUUCAAUCAAAAAGGAGAAGGUCCUUGUUUCACUGAAUCGGUAAAUUUCUCCUCCUAGCAGAUCUGUUCCUUACCAGUAAGGAAAUACAACUCAGCAUAGACUCAGAUUGGAAAGCAGAGCAAAACAUUUCUGAACAGCACUCACUUGGGAGCUGUGCUACAUGCCCACACACGGAUGGAGACCUCUGCCAGACCAAACUGCAUUAUCAGACGGUGCAAAAAGGAAGCUGCAACUGGCACAUAGCCACCGCUCACGCAUCCGCUCUCAGGGCUGGCCUCCCAGCUCACCCAGAUCAUAGAGCACUUAAUCAGGAUGCUGAAGCCAAGCACUCAUCCAGAGCAAGCGAAGCAGGACUGAAGCACCUUGUGUCCCACCGAAGGGUCUGAGCCACACAGCUGGGCUGUGCUUCAGGUCAGACAGGGCUGUAGCUACCAGAAAGGCACAGUUUGUCAGACCUUCCCGACACCUUUCUCAGGGAAAUCCCAUCUCUGUAUUUGCCUUCUUUUAAAGCAGGACUGGCUGAUGUAUUAACAAAGCCAAUUCUAACUGCCUCAGCAAUUUGCAACACAAAGGACAGGGAGCAGCUGCAGCCCAGAUUUAUCACCUUGCUCACCAAAUGCAGCCAACACUUCUCUGCUGUGCUCCAAGAGUGCAAGGUCUAGUAAUGACUUCCCAGGCAGAUCUACAGAUAGUGUGAGCUUCAUCUAAUCUAAGAAAAGAGAUUUCAAGGCAUUUGGGGGCUUCAACAUAAUCUGAUAUCAGCUUUCAUGUUUUGGGGCAGCACGCUGCUGCUGGUAAAUGAGCGGACAUUCUGCUCUCAUAGCUGUAUGCUGCUCCUCUCUGUGCACUGACAGCUCCCUGUCCCCACGUUCAGAUGACUGUUAAAUUACAGCCAGGAUCUCACCAGACAUUUAUGUCUGACACCCAGGCUCGAGACUGUCUUCCGUGCUGCUACUACCAGUUUAGCACAUCAUGCUAAAAGGCCCAAAACUUCUAACAUUGACAGAAAGGGAGGGCUGGAUGUUUAGGUUGACGAUGGCUCCCUAAAGUGCAAGCAUCCUUCUACUGAGCAAACCAAACUGUAAACUGCCCAUGACAAGUCCCCAGCUCCCUAUUAUCAUCAGAGAGAAUGGGGACUUUUUUUUUCCCUCUACUUUACACUAUACAUUCAGUCGAGAUGGAUGAGUCAAUAAUGAUGAUGUGACUUCUACACAAUUGCUUCAGGAUGCAUGAAAUUCAGCUAGGAGCUCCACUCACACAGCGAGGGAGGAUAUUCAGGUGGCCUUGAGGUGGUUUGCAAGGGUCAGUGUCCAUCUUCCCAGCAACAACAGAUACAAAUGUGAGCCAAGACAGAGGAAAAAAGGGAAUAAUCAAACCCUUUAUGAAAAGAAACAUCAGCCAAAACAUCUAAUUGCAUAGCAGAGAGAUAAGGAGACGUGCUCCUUCUCAACACUGGGCAGCCAGUAGCGACAGCUGUUAGAUCAUAGAUGCUCCAAAGCUUUGCAGGAUCUGGUUUAUCACAUCCCAGUUGUGCUAUGAGCAACCUUCCACUUGCAGAGGAAGAAGGACCCUUCCAGGAACAGACAACAAGCACAGCUAAUGUCCAUGAAAUGUAAACCACAAUCAAAGCCAUCUCUUUCCAGAAACUCGUGUGAUGAGUCUGCUUGGGAAGGUGUGGCUUGGAGAGCUCCCUGAGCAUCACUGGUACCUUGAAAAUAUCAGAAUUCUGAGAGCAAAUGUCUGCAUGGAGAGGCACAGACAAGGGGAAGCAAACUCCCUUGGAAAAUGAGCAUGAAUUUUCCUAUCUGAAAUAAUGCACAGUGCUGGGCUCCUUGGGGUUGGCUUGUAUUUCCUCAGGGGAAGCAGCUUGGGAAGCCCAGGGGAGCUGAUUAUUUGUUGUUCCCAUUUAUUACAAAGCACUGUUAUUAUUUACAAAACAUACACUUUAUGUACUGUUACUGCAUUCAUGUGCAAUAACUAGUCUAAACUCAAAUCCCUAGGAGAACUGCUGAAAGAGAAGCAAUUCUACCACGUAUUAAUAACCCUAGGAUUUCCCCAGGUUUAAGGGAAUAGAAAAUAUGUCUCAUACAAGUGAACUUGCUCUUUCUUACAGUAUAAAACUGCUCUUUUCCAAUGAUAGCAAUGAAAGGAUAUUGCUUCUGUCACUGAUGCCACUGGAAAUGUAUUGCCCCUCUCCAAGAAACCAAUGAAAGGAUAUGGCUGGUUUAUUCUCUAAAUGAGGCUACUGAGAAAUAUGCUGCUCCCAGCGCUAGCCCAGGCAUGCUGCUACUUCUGUGUCCCCAGCCUGAAGGCACCAUGUGAGCAUCUUGGUGCCAAAUGGCAAAACUGUUUGUGGAGAAAACCAAACCAGAGUUUGAGAUCUAAGCAGAGGAAAGAAACUGUCGAAAUGUCGGAUAGAAGUGAGUCCCUAGCUUACCUCACCGAGGCUGGAGUAGGGCUCAGCUGCUCUAUAGCACAGCCAGGAUCUGGCCCCUUCUCCUUCAGCAGCUCUGCACCUCGUGUGAAAUGAGUUUAAACCUUGGGGGGGAAGGCGAGCCCACACUUAACCUGUGGCCAGGAGCCUGGCCAUUAGGAAGGCUGCCAGACACUCUCCCUUUUACUGCUAAGUUUAAUGGCCUGGCUCUGUGCUGAAGAUUUUAGGUUUUGAAAGCAAAA